UACGUACGCCACAGANGNGUAACACCUGGAAACAGAUGCUAAUACCGGAUAACAACACUAGACGCAUGUCUAGAGUUUAAAAGAUGGUUCUGCUAUCACUCUUGGAUGGACCUGCGGUGCAUUAGCUAGUUGGUAAGGUAACGGCUUACCAAGGCAAUGAUGCAUAGCCGAGUUGAGAGACUGAUCGGCCACAUUGGGACUGAGACACGGCCCAAACUCCUACGGAAGGCAGCAG
rnacentral:rRNA from 1 species